AAAUGGAUGCUGAAGCAAACGACGACUCCGUUCGAGGAAGAAGAAACUGCAGAGCGGAGGGAGUGCGUCAGAGUCUCUUACAGCUUUGCAUGGGAUUACGUGAAGAAGGAAACCCGAUGGAUGGGUGCUCCGAGAUUCGGAAACUGGUGGAAGAUAGAUCCCGGUGGCGAUGGCCGACAGUUGUGGUUGUGGCGCCACCGAGGAGGACCCCACCUGUUCCCCCCUCGGACUCCCCAUCAUGUCGACUUCGCACUCAAGGCAGCAUGGGGAGCGGUGGCCAGCGGGCGGCUGUUAACCGUCCCCUCCCCCUCUCUCAUCUAAAUGCUCUCUCCUCCAUCGGCUCCCCGUUCCAUCCCGGCUCUCCUUCGUUCGAUGCCUUCGUGAUGAUGCGAGCCCUUUGAUUCUUCCCUCGGAACAGUGCAGAGGAGACAGAUGGUCGGCAUCUUCGCUCUGUUCUCCGCCGGGAGGAUCAGCCACCGCCGGACGAAGAGCGCGGCUGUGAGCUCACAAAACUGCUUCUUUUCCGGAUCUUCGUCAGAAAGAUAAGAUUUUGGACGUGAGGCAAGUAUUUUUGGCUCCAAACAUGGAGGUCGGAGGUUCCUCUACCGGCACUGACCAUGAAGCUGAUGUAAACGACGAGUUCAAACCGAUCGAGCACCCGACGGAGCCGCUCGACCACGAUCAACCCGUGAGAUGCCCGCUGCCCGAUCCUUCGAUACUUGAUGAUGGUGGAACGUGGAAGGGAAGGAUAUCUUCUGCAAGUGCCGGCACAGCUGGCUUGCCCAUGGUGAAGCAAGACACGGAUGUGGAACCUCAAGCUGGUGAAACCACGGCGCAUUCCAUCUCACCUGGACGCGUCUCGUCGGCAUCCAUCGGCGUUCCUGAGCAUCGUUUCGUGACCGUGCUUGAAGAAGACUGCAACACGGAUGAAACCCAGAUUGCGCAUGGCUGAUGACUUGUGCUUCCUUGCUUCAUGUGUUCUUCCUCCCCGACUGCUGCUGCUGUUGAAUCUUACCACAUUCAAUUGUUGAUAGACCAAAUCUAUCUUCGUUGC